rnacentral:rRNA from 1 species
UACGAAGGGUGCAAGCGUUAAUCGGAAUUACUGGGCGUAAAGCGUGCGUAGGCGGUUGGCUAAGUCAGAUGUGAAAGCCCUGGGCUCAACCUGGGAAUGGCAUUUGAAACUGGCUGGCUAGAGUGUGAUAGAGGAUGGCGGAAUUUCCGGUGGAGCGGUGAAAUGCGUAGAGAUCGGAAAGAACACCAACGGCGAAAGCACUCUGCUGGGCCGACACUGACACUGAGAGACGAAAGCUAGGGGAGCGAAUGGG